rnacentral:rRNA from 1 species
GUAGGUGGCAAGCGUUGUCCGGAAUUAUUGGGCGUAAAGCGCGCGCAGGCGGUUCUUUAAGUCUGAUGUGAAAGCCCACGGCUCAACCGUGGAGGGUCAUUGGAAACUGGAGAACUUGAGUACAGAAGAGGAAAGCGGAAUUCCACGUGUAGCGGUGAAAUGCGUAGAGAUGUGGAGGAGCACCAGUGGCGAAGGCGGCUUUCUGGUCUGUAACUGACGCUGAGGCGCGAAAGCGUGGGGAGCAAACAGGAUUAGAUACCCUGGUAGUCCACGCCGUAAACGAUGAGUGCUAAGUGUUAGGGGGGUUUCCGCCCCCCUUAGUGCUGCAGCUAACGCAUUAAGCACUCCGCCUGGGAGUACGGCCGCAAGGCUA